UACGAAGGGUGCGAGCGUUAUUCGGAAUCACUGGGCGUAAAGGGUGUGUAGACGGUUUAUUAAGUUCGUCGUUAAAGGCUCCGGCCCAACCGGAGUACUGCGAUGAAAACUGGUUGACUAGAGGGUGAGAGAGAGAAGUGGAAUUCCUGGAGUAGCGGUAAAAUGCGUGGAUCUCAGGAGGAACACCAAUGGCGAAGGCAGCUUCUUGGCUCAUUCCUGACGUUGAGGCACGAAAGCGUGGGGAGCAAACAGG
rnacentral:rRNA from 1 species